rnacentral:ncRNA from 2 species
GCAUAUCCGUUGGGGUGCCCGCAAGGGCUGAGAGGCUGCAAAGCCGACCCAUCGAACCUGAUCCGGGCAAUGCCGGCGUAGGGAACGGAGAUCGACCUUGG